AGGACUAACGCUGGCGGCGUGCCUAACACAUGCAAGUCGAACGAGGGGUAGCAAUACCCCUAGUGGCAGACGGGUGAGUAACACGUAGUCAACCUACCUCUUAAUGGGGAUAACUAGCCGAAAGGUUAGCUAAUACCGCAUACGAUCGUCGAGUGGCAUCACACGACGAUGAAAGGAGCAAUCCGUUGAGAGAGGGGACUGCGUCCCAUUAGUUAGUUGGUGGGGUAAUGGCCUACCAAGACUCCGAUGGGUAGCUGGCUUGAGAGAGCGACCAGCCACACUGGAACUGAGACACGGUCCAGACUCCUACGGGAGGCAGCAGUGAGGAAUUUUCCGCAAUGGGGGAAACCCUGACGGAGCGACGCCGCGUGUGGGAAGAAGGCCUUGGGUCGUAAACACUGUCGAGGGGACGAUAUUGACGGUACCCCUGGAGGAAGCCCCGGCGUAACUACGUGCCAGCAGCCGC
rnacentral:rRNA from 1 species